UACGGGGGGGGCAAGCGUUGUUCGGAAUUACUGGGCGUAAAGGGCUCGUAGGCGGCCAACUAAGUCAUACGUGAAAUCCCUCAGCUUAACUGGGGAACUGCGUGUGAUACUGGAUGGCUUGGAUUUGGGAGAGGGAUGCGGAAUUCCAGGUGUAGCGGUGAAAUGCGUAGAUAUCUGGAGGAACACCGGUGGCGAAGGCGGCAUCCUGGACCAAUAUUGACGCUGAGGCACGAAAGCUAGGGGAGCAAACAGG
rnacentral:rRNA from 1 species